rnacentral:lncRNA from 1 species
AUUUUUUUGGAAUAAUGACGAAUGCCAGAACAGUAUGUGUUACAAUAUGUUGUGUGAACAAUGUGUAUAUUAUAUUAUAAAAAAGCAGUGUGCGUAAAUAGUAUGUACAGUGUAUGCAUGUUUAUAUCAGUGAAUACAUGCAUAUAUCAGUGUUUUGCUAUAUCUUUUUUUAACAUAAUUAUUGAACAAAUAUAUAAACACAG